rnacentral:lncRNA from 1 species
GGACGACCCAUUAGCCCUCUAGAUAUUAUGUUAUGUAAUGAAAGACCAGGGGCUGCCAUUCUACGCCCCUGGCACAGAGUACAGGAAAGACCAGGUGUGGCCUGCACUACGCCCCUGGCACAUAGCUUAUGUUAUGUAAUAGAAGUCCUGAGGAGCUCCAUCGAGGGCCGGGCACAGAGUAGAUGGAUUUUUGGGUCAGUCCAUUCGUGAUGUGAAUUGUUUGUGUUGUGAUGCAUUCCAUGAAAGCAUAUGUUUAUUAAUUUGUUU